rnacentral:rRNA from 1 species
AACGAACGCUGGCGGCAGGCUUAACACAUGCAAGUCGAGCGCACUCUUCGGAGUGAGCGGCGGACGGGUUAGUAACGCGUGGGAACGUGCCCUUCUCUAAGGAAUAGCCUCUGGAAACGGAGAGUAAUACCUUAUACGCCCUUUGGGGGAAAGAUUUAUCGGAGAAGGAUCGGCCCGCGUUAGAUUAGAUAGUUGGUGGGGUAACGGCCUACCAAGUCUACGAUCUAUAGCUGGUUUUAGAGGAUGAUCAGCAACACUGGGACUGAGACACGGCCCAGACUCCUACGGGAGGCAGCAGUGGGGAAUCUUGGACAAUGGGCGCAAGCCUGAUCCAGCCAUGCCGCGUGAGUGAUGAAGGCCUUAGGGUCGUAAAGCUCUUUCGCCAGAGAUGAUAAUGACAGUAUCUGGUAAAGAAACCCCGGCUAACUCCGUGCCAGCAGCCGCGGUAAUACGGAGGGGGUUAGCGUUGUUCGGAAUUACUGGGCGUAAAGCGCACGUAGGCGGAUCAGAAAGUAUAGGGUGAAAUCCCAGGGCUCAACCCUGGAACUGCCUUGUAAACUCCUGGUCUUGAGUUCGAGAGAGGUGAGUGGAAUUCCGAGU